rnacentral:rRNA from 1 species
AAGACGGUCUUGCUGUCACUUAUAGAUGGAUCCGCGCUGCAUUAGCUAGUUGGUAAGGUAACGGCUUACCAAGGCAACGAUGCAUAGCCGACCUGAGAGGGUGAUCGGCCACACUGGAACUGAGACACGGUCCAGACUCCUACGGGAGGCAGCAGUAGGGAAUCUUCCGCAAUGGGCGAAAGCCUGACGGAGCAACGCCGCGUGAGUGAUGAAGGUCUUCGGAUCGUAAAACUCUGUUAUUAGGGAAGAACAUAUGUGUAAGUAACUGUGCACAUCUUGACGGUACCUAAUCAGAAAGCCACGGCUAACUACGUGCCAGCAGCCGCGGUAAUACGUAGGUGGCAAGCGUUAUCCGGAAUUAUUGGGCGUAAAGCGCGCGUAGGCGGUUUUUUAAGUCUGAUGUGAAAGCCCACGGCUCAACCGUGGAGGGUCAUUGGAAACUGGAAAACUUGAGUGCAGAAGAGGAAAGUGGAAUUCCAUGUGUAGCGGUGAAAUGCGCAGAGAUAUGGAGGAACACCAGUGGCGAAGGCGACUUUCUGGUCUGUAACUGACGCUGAUGUGCGAAAGCGUGGGGAUCAAACAGGAUUAGAUACCCUGGUAGUCCACGCCGUAAACGAUGAGUGCUAAGUGUUAGGGGGUUUCCGCCCCUUAGUGCUGCAGCUAACGCAUUAAGCACUCCGCCUGGGGAGUACGACCGCAAGGUUGAAACUCAAAGGAAUUGACGGGGACCCGCACAAGCGGUGGAGCAUGUGGUUUAAUUCGAAGCAACGCGAAGAACCUUACCAAAUCUUGACAUCCUUUGACAACUCUAGAGAUAGAGCCUUCCCCUUCGGGGGACAAAGUGACAGGUGGUGCAUGGUUGUCGUCAGCUCGUGUCGUGAGAUGUUGGGUUAAGUCCCGCAACGAGCGCAACCCUUAAGCUUAGUUGCCAUCAUUAAGUUGGGCACUCUAAGUUGACUGCCGGUGACAAACCGGAGGAAGGUGGGGAUGACGUCAAAUCAUCAUGCCCCUUAUGAUUUGGGCUACACACGUGCUACAAUGGACAAUACAAAGGGCAGCGAAACCGCGAGGUCAAGCAAAUCCCAUAAAGUUGUUCUCAGUUCGGAUUGUAGUCUGCAACUCGACUACAUGAAGCUGGAAUCGCUAGUAAUCGUAGAUCAGCAUGCUACGGUGAAUACGUUCCCGGGUCUUGUACACACCGCCCGUCACACCACGAGAGUUUGUAACACCCGAAGCCGGUGGAGUAACCUUUUAGGAGCUAGCCGUCGAAGGUGGGACAAAUGAUUGGGGUGAAGUCGUA